rnacentral:lncRNA from 1 species
AAUGUAAUUUCCGCUCCCAAACUGUAGACUCAGUGAUCUACGUAGUCUUGAGAGAUGCAGUUCUUAGCUUGAACUACUCAGGAUCUGAGUCUAAACUUCAGUCAGGUUGUACAGUGAUGCACCUUGUAUGAGUCUACAGAUACCUCAUGCACUAGCUGGAGAAGAGAAGGAAAAUUUACCAGAUAAACAGCAAGGUUCCUAGCCAGAUCAUUACUUUAGUGGAUGCAUUUCAUUGGAAAUAUCAAUCCCAUUGUCUGAAAGCAUUUCAAGAACAUCUUUAAUUUUCUGUAAUACUUCAAAUUCUGUGCUGGUUUAGGGCUCAAGUGAGUAUUAUAUGCAACAGAAUUUAUCUUGGUUCAUGUAUAUUAGUGUGUGCCUGUAACCCUGUUUAGGUCAAGCAAAAUGCAAAGACAAGCAUGUUAACAGCAAAGUGACCCUUUAGAAGUCCUAAAAAAUUACUCUUGCAGUCCAUAGUCCA